rnacentral:tRNA from 1 species
GGCACCAUGGCUUAGCUGGUUAAAGCAUCUGUUUCGUAAACAGAAGAUCCUGGGUUCAACUCCCGGUGGUGCCU